rnacentral:tRNA from 1 species
UCCCUGGUGGCUCAGAGACUAAAGCGCCUGCCUGCAAUGCGGAAGACCCGGGUUCGAUCCCUGGGUUGGGAA